GCCCGAGUGGCGGAAUUGGUAGACGCAGCGGAUUCAAAAUCCGCCAUCGCAAGAUAUGCCGGUUCGAGUCCGGCCUCGGGCACCA
rnacentral:tRNA from 1 species